GAUGAACGCUGGCGGCGUGCCUAAUACAUGCAAGUCGAGCGAACAGACGAGGAGCUUGCUCCUCUGACGUUAGCGGCGGACGGGUGAGUAACACGUGGAUAACCUACCUAUAAGACUGGGAUAACUUCGGGAAACCGGAGCUAAUACCGGAUAAUAUAUUGAACCGCAUGGUUCAAUAGUGAAAGACGGUUUUGCUGUCACUUAUAGAUGGAUCCGCGCCGCAUUAGCUAGUUGGUAAGGUAACGGCUUACCAAGGCAACGAUGCGUAGCCGACCUAAGAGGGUGAUCGGCCACACUGGAACUGAGACACGGUCCAGACUCCUACGGGAGGCAGCAGUAGGGAAUCUUCCGCAAUGGGAAAGCCUGACGGAGCAACGCCGCGUGAGUGAUGAAGGUCUUCGGAUCGUAAAACUCUGUUAUUAGGGAAGAACAAAUGUGUAAGUAACUAUGCACGUCUUGACGGUACCUAAUCAGAAAGCCACGGCUAACUACGUG
rnacentral:rRNA from 1 species